ACGGGGGGUGCAAGCGUUGUUCGGAAUUAUUGGGCGUAAAGGGCGCGUAGGCGGCGCGGUAAGUCACCUGUGAAAUCUCCCGGCUUAACUGGGAGCCUGCAGGCGAAACUGCCGUGCUGGAGUAUGGGAGAGGUGCGUGGAAUUCCCGGUGUAGCGGUGAAAUUCGUAGAUAUCGGGAGGAACACCAGUGGCGAAGGCGGCGAUCUGGGAAGAUACUGACGCUGAGGUGCGAAAGCGUGGGGAGCAAACAGGA
rnacentral:rRNA from 1 species